CCCAGUUAAAUUUUAAUUUCAGAUAGACAUAGAAUAAUUUUUUAUUAUAAGUAUGUUCCAUACAAUAUUUGGGCCAUACUUAUACUAAAAAAUUAUCCUUCAUUUGAAAUUCAAAUUUAACUAAACAUC
rnacentral:miRNA from 1 species